GAUCCUCCAUGGAGCAGGUCGGGUUGCGCGCGGGUCACUGGGUUUGAACGAUACGACACCGUUUUGACACCAUUGUAAUAAGGCUCAAACGGUGUCGUUUCAUGCUUUAUAAAACUAAAUAAAAAUGAAUAAAUACACAAACCUAAAAAACCCUAAAACAUUUGAUUCAUCGUUUCCCUUUUACAGAGAAACCCAGGUACUGCGCCGUUCUCGCGUCUACGACCUCCACCCAGGCUCCGAUUGCGACGGAGAGGGUCAGAGAUCCGACGGCUUCCAACGACAAGGCGUACGGAGGCCGUACGGUGACGCGUGUGAGGAGUGGCUCGAAGGUGUGGUGGCGCACGCAUGAGAGGGGAGCGUACUGGCUGCGGCGCUGGUGCUAGGGUUUCUGAUCCUCUUUGGAGUGUUAGGCCGUAUGAUUGUUGGGUUGGGUGUAGUUGGGCUAGGUGAAUUGGGUUAGAUUUUGGGUUUGUAAUUUUUGGUUAUUGGGCUAGGUGCAAUUGGGCCAUUCGGGUUUAGCAUUCUGGGCAUAUGCAUUUGGGCCUACUUGGAUUUAGGCCUGCUAAUGUAAAGAACUGGACUAUGUUAUUGGUUUUUUUUGUUGACUUUUAAUUUUGGUUUGGUUUAUUUUUUUUGA